rnacentral:rRNA from 1 species
GAUGAACGCUGGCGGCGUGCCUAAUACAUGCAAGUCGAGCGAACAGACGAGGAGCUUGCUCCUCUGACGUUAGCGGCGGACGGGUGAGUAACACGUGGAUAACCUACCUAUAAGACUGGGAUAACUUCGGGAAACCGGAGCUAAUACCGGAUAAUAUAUUGAACCGCAUGGUUCAAUAGUGAAAGACGGUUUUGCUGUCACUUAUAUAUGUAUCCGCGCCGCAUUAGCUAGUUGGUAAGGUAACGGCGUACCAAGGCAACGAUGCGUAGCCGACCUGAGAGGGUGAUCGGCCACACUGGAACUGAGACACGGUCCAGACUCCUACGGGAGGCAGCAGUAGGGAAUCUUCCGCAAUGGGCGAAAGCCUGACGGAGCAACGCCGCGUGAGUGAUGAAGGUCUUCGGAUCGUAAAACUCUGUUAUUAGGGAAGAACAAAUGUGUAAGUAACUAUGCACGUCUUGACGGUACCUAAUCAGAAAGCCACGGCUAACUACGUG